rnacentral:lncRNA from 1 species
CGGGGCGGGAGCUGCUGCUGCGCGGCUUGGGCCGCGGGAUGGGCCGCGCGGCCUGCUGGCUGGCGCGAGGGGAAAGGAGAGAGAGGGGGGAAAAGCCGGCCCAGGGCGUUUGCCUCGCUUCUUUUUUUUCUUUUUUUUUUUAAAAUAGUUUUCUCCUAUUUAAUUAUUUCUCCAACAAAAACUACAAGCACCAGCACACAAAUCAAACAAAAAUAAAUGCAGCGGCAUGAAUGCAUACGAGCAAGAUUUCUACCUUAUAUUUAAUUUUAUUUAAUUUUGUAAAUUAUUUAAUAUUUCUCAAAAAUUCAAAUUGAGCCAAAAUAAAAUUAAAUUCAAACUAAAUUUAAAAUUCAAAAAUUUGGAGUGUUAUAAACCUACCCCCCUUAAAAGAAUCUCGUCCUCGAGAUUAGGAUGAACCAGGGAAUAACUGAGGGUAUUUGGAUAUUAGAUCAUCUUCUCUUUCCCAGGUUGCUUCUUCCUCGGAAUGGUGUUUCCAUUGAACUUUACACAUCCUGAUAGUUUUACUCCUGGUAAUUCUCUCUGCUGUGUCCAGGACUUUGAUAGGACUCUCUUCAUAAGUUAGAUCAUCCUGUAAAUCCAGUUCCUCUAGUGGCAACUGUUCCUCAGGCACUCUCAAGCAUUUCUUGAAUUGGGAGACAUGGAAAACAUUGUGCACGUUGGAUAAACUAACAGGCAGUUCAAGCUCAU